UACGGAGGGGGCUAGCGUUGUUCGGAAUUACUGGGCGUAAAGGGCGCGUAGGCGGCAUGGCAAGUCAGGAGUGAAAGGCCUGGGCUCAACCGAGGAACUGCUUUUGAUACUGCCAAGCUAGAGUGCGGAAGGGGCAACUGGAAUUCCCAGUGUAGCGGUGAAAUGCGUAGAUAUUGGGAAGAACACCUGAGGCGAAGGCGGGUUGCUGGGCCGACACUGACGCUGAGGCGCGAAAGCCAGGGGAGCAAACGGG
rnacentral:rRNA from 1 species